CGUGGGGACUCAAACUGCAGGCGGAUGAGGCGCAGUUUAAGCGUUUUUUUGGCAUCCGGAACGCCGGAAUCCCGGACGAAGACGAGUAUAAAUGGAGGAGGAAGAGAGAGAUGUGACGGAUGCACUUAAGACUGAAGAGAGAGAGGAUCUACAACAUGCUGACACACAAGCUGGUCUGCAACCUGGCAACUCAAAAUCUGAAGAAAAUGCAGAUGCACAAGUGCUUCCAUCAGUCAUUCCAGACCCAGAAACUGUAGCAGCCAAUCAGAAGCCCUCUACAGUCCCGGAACAAGUGGACAACUUAGUUAUACUUGAUCAAAACGGACAUCCUAUUCAGUAUGAGCGGGUGGUGAUCGUGAAAGGGGAGAAUGGACAGUUGUAUGGUGUCCCAUCUGUGUCUAUAGGGGGACCUCAGAUGUUACUGCCUCACGGUCAGCUGUUGAAAGUAACAAACUCAUCUGGAAUCUUUGAGGAGAAAAGACCACAGCCAAUCAUCACAUCCACAAAAGACAAUGAUGGCACCCAUAGUUUAUCUGCACUAGCGGCUCAGAAUGGCACUGGUAUUAAAAUUCAGAAAAAAGGUUCUCCUGAUGUAUUUGAGCCCCCAGUAAAGCCACUGCCACCAGGGACACCAAACUGGGCUCUAAGACUGCGUGGGUGUGAGAAGAUUGGAGAAUCGUACCGUGGUUACUGUAACACAGAGGCAGAGCUUGAGGCCAUUCAGCUUCUACACAAGCAGCAGACUCACGCUGUGUUUGGCACCCGCCAAUCACCCUCACCGGCUAAACCUGCCACCAGACUCAUGUGGAAAUCACAGUAUGUGCCCUACGAUGGCAUUCCCUUUGUUAAUGCAGGUAGCAGAGCCAGUGUGAUGGAAUGCCAGUUUGGUCCACGGAGGAAGGGCGUUCAACUUAAAAAAGGGUCAGAGCAAGAAACAAAUCAAAACAUCCUCUACAAAGCAACCUGCCCUGCCAGAAUAUAUAUCAAAAAAGUACGAAAAUUCCCGGAGUACAAGGUUCCAACAGAUCCCAAAGUGGACAAGAAGGUAGUGCGACAAGAGCAGGAAAAAGCCUUCUUCAACCUCAAGAAGAGUUUAUGGGAUGUUGGAGGCAUUGUAAGGUAUUACAUCCAGCUCCCUACAGAGAAAGCCCACCUGUACCAUGAUGUGGACACUGCAAACCUGCCUCCACUUCCAGAGCAGAUCUGCUUUGCAGAGGAAGAACAAAAUGACGAUGAAGAGGAAGAAACAGAGGAGCUGGACAGUGAAACCAUGCAGGAUGUCAUUAUGGAGGAUGGGGCGUCCCUACCCUCUCGACUACACCCGCUCGUGGCAGAGAAGAUCUGUGAGUUGGUGGCACAAGGUCAUAACCAGGUUUACACUGUCCGCAAGCAGCUCAGGAGGUUUGUGGAACAUGAGAUGUUCAAGUCAGAGGAUGUGCCCGAGAAACACAACCUGUGUUACUUUCCCACUGUCAAUGACAUCAAGAACCACAUCCAUGAGGCUCAGAAAGCUCUUCAACUGACGGCGGGAACACUGGCUACCUCGGAUACAGAGUGGAAAGCAGAGACUAAUAAUCUGAUUCCAGAGACUUUGACCCUGAUUUCUGCUACUGUAGAUGUUGCAGUUACAACUCAAAGGAACCACAACAACCGACUUCCGAAUCCAAAAUGGCUGCUCAGCGCAUCAACAGUAAGUGAAAUAGUUGUAAAAUAUAGUUUAUUAGCACUUGUUUGUCUGCGUUUCAAUAAACUCACGGCAGAGUGCUAUCCAACCUCUAUUUGUGAACAUGAUUCUUCAGCAUUAUCUGUGCACCGUUUUCUAUUCCAAAAGAGCAAGCACAACAAAGGUUUUCCUGACAUGUCCAUCUUGGUUUUCCAACUUUCAAACUUGAGUGUGACGUCGUUACCAGCACAUCCGACUUCUGAGUGUCCUCUCAGAAGGAAGAACUCAUGGAAGAGAGUGACACUCUUUCUCCAGAGGCUGUGCAGCUCUUCAGUUCUCUCACCUCACUGCAGCCCAAGGUCUUUGCACAUCUCCAGGCCAUCCAGCUACAGCCUGCCUUGUGUCCAGUUGAAGACACAGCCCAACCUACACCCCCACGUGAGGCCCAAGAGCUGUCCAGCCCUGCACCUCCACAGCCUGUUCUGAUGAGUCCAUCCCAGUUCCUCCAGUCAAGUGGCAGUGGUGGCGAAAGCAUAUCUCUGUGUGACCCCCCGACCCUGCUCGGCAUGAGCCAGCUGGUGAGUGUGACCUCGGUGACUAAUGCCGGAGCUGAAGGGGGCAUCACACAGAUCCUGUUGGAGGAUGGACAGGCAAUUCCAGUCCAGAUUGUGGACCCUGCAAGCAUAGCUUUGACUCCCUCAGCAGACGACACUUCAGUUAAAUAAGAGAGUGGGAAAUCUAUGAAUGUGUCGGAAGUCAGAAAUACAACAACGAGAAAAGAAAACAAAUGUCCAUGUCUGUGACUGUGACUGAACAGCGUUUGACGAUUGAGCUCUUUGACCAAUGGAGGACUGAUUCAUUGUUUAUUGACUCAUGUGAUAUUGAUUUGUAUUAUUAUCUGUUUCCAUUUCCAAUUAUUGCUAUUUUAAUUUAUUACAGUGGUGACCGGAGAAAAAAACAAUUUAUCAAAAGUAUGAAUGUGAUCAAAAUGAAAUAUUUAAAGCUAAAUGUCUUCUGUUGCUUUCGUCUUUUCACACAAAACAACAACAGGUAUACUUUUAUUCUACUAUAGUGUCAAUUGCCAAAUGUGAAUGACAUAUGAGAAUAUACCUGAACAAAUUAAAAAGACAAACAGUAGAGGGCGCUGCUCACUCAAUGCCAGUGGUUCUCUCAACUUCUAUGAGUGAUUUCACCAGGUGCAACAUUUUCCUGGAUCAACACCUGUGUUAAUUCUGGAACAACAUUCCCAUCAAUCAGUCAAGUUUGUUCAAGUUCAUUUUCUGUCAAGUUUAGGCUUACAACCAGCGCUAGGUGCUUCUACAUAGUAUUCACCUUGAUUUUAGGGAUAAUUAUGGGAAGGGUUGGGUUUAGGGGUAUGCAUUGGGCUAGGACUUAAAUAUUCAGUCAGAAAGGAAGAAAAAUCCAAUUUGAGCA